rnacentral:lncRNA from 1 species
CGGGACCAACACGCGAAAAAACAAUUCACUAAGAGAAAAGAUUACAAGGUGAUUACCGACUCCACGGACUUAACCUCUCUUAACCUCCUAUGAAUCCUCGCGCUACCCUCCGGGUUGUCCACGCCCUCACGUCCGAAUCCACGAACGCCUCCACUUCGAAUCCACGAAGCUUCAAUCACGCCGAAUCCACGACGCCACUCGAAUCCACGAGCCCACGAUCCGAAUCCACGAACCGCC